AAUUUUUUUAAACCUCUUUAGAUUAUAGAAGAUAGUAAAUGGAGAAGAGUAACCUGAGAAAAGCAAUUUUGAUAAAAUGAAGCAGUGGGACAAAAAAUGUUUCUAAUUUUUCUUCCAUCAAUGAGUUCUCACACUGGACACUUUACUGGAAAUCUAAUUGAUGCAAGAUUCAAAGAAGAAAUAUUUACAUCGUAUGAAUUUAUAACUAGUGUUGAAGAAAUGCGUAGGAGGUUAGAAAUCAUUGUGACAAGAGAAAUUUUUAAAAAUAGCCCAGCCAACAUUGACAGACGGGUACCGUAUGGUUUGUGUCUGGGCUUACGGGAACGGGAUUUUGACAGCAUGUUAAAGAAUAUUUCUGCAUGGUGCACUCUAACUGUUGACAAUAUAUGCAUAUUGAUAUGAGUAAAAGUGACUUCAACAACUAGAAUGUGUUUUUGAUAAAUAUUAAUAAUAACAGUUCAUAUUGAAACGAGAUAUUGUGUAAAGAGGUUUUCAAAGAAGUCGUUUUAACAACAAUGGAAAAGCUUCCGAUUCCCGAGAUAAACGUGAAAGCAUUUGAUACAUGAUUAAAGAAUCGUUCAAAAGUUUG